rnacentral:lncRNA from 1 species
CCCACGAUUACAAGUACAUCCCAACAGGCCAAAAAGGGAAGUCGAAAGAGGAACUAAAAAUUUCUUAAGUUCAUUUGGUUACAAAAUCGAGCCGAAGCCCGGUUACAAGUGUGCUAAGAAAAACAAAAACGAUAAAGGAAGACGGGGCCACGAUCAUCCUUCGGAGUCAAUCUCCUCGACUGACAGAAGCUCGGGGAUGACUGGUGUAUCCACCAUGAUC